GUUAGGUUUGGAAACUGCGAAUGGCUCAUUAUAUCAGUUAUAGUUUAUUUGGUGAAGUGUACUACUUGGAUAACCGUAGUAAUUCUAGGGCUAAUACAUGAGAAAGUCCUCUGGUGAGGUGUGUUUAUUAGAAUGAAAACCAUAUGCUUCGGCAUGAUAGUGAGUAAUAGUAACCUAUCGUAUCGCAAGCUUAAUGUAGCGAUGAGUCUUUCAAGUUUCUGCCCUAUCAGCUUUCGAUGGUAGUAUAUGGGCCUACCAUG
rnacentral:rRNA from 1 species